rnacentral:misc_RNA from 1 species
AACGCAAAUUGCACUCUCCGGUAUUCCGUAGAGUAUGCCUGUUUGAGGGUCAGUUAAAUAAAAAUCGGGGUUGUCGCUACCUUUCGUGGUGACGCUUCGGAAUUGGGCCGUCUUUACCUUUUGGUUAAGUGACCUAAAAGCUUUACGUGAUUUUUCAACGUGUUUAAAUUUUUUUAUACGCGUUUGUAACAUCAAGUAUUAGAUGUGGUCAUUCUCAUAAUUUCGCGUCUAUAAUUUAUCAUCUAAUGACCUCAAAUCAGGUAAGAGUACCCGCUGAACUUAA